AGUCGACACCAAAAAAAAAAAACAAACUUUAGCUAUUAUCAUUAGAACUGUCACUAGUCAUAUCCUAGCUAAUCCAAAGGUGGACAUGAGUAUUUUUCUCAGCCCGUCUUUAAUAGUGGUCGGCACUGGUCGCACACUGACCUCACCUCAUAUAGCGGCAGGGGCUCUGUAGAAAUAUCCUAAUUAUCAGCACCGCUAAUGAUUACUGGGCAUGCACACAUUGCAAUUAUGUCAAGUUUUCUUGUGUUUAGGAACACGCCCCUAAAGUCGUACUGCUGGAGUUUUUUUAAAUAGAAGGAUACAGAUAUCCUUCAUCCUGCACUUCUGCCCCUCUUACGUCCUACCCCUGUCACUCACACCCAAGGAGGAAUGUCCGCCCUUACGAAGUGACUGCCUGCACGUCACAAUACGAUAACAGUCAAUCACAAAGCCACAAUCAUUAAAAUAUCCCCAGCCUGGUCAGCAGACCAGAGUACGCAAUGAUAACAUGAAGCAGCAGCAGCGGCGCCGAUGUCGUAACUAUAUUAAAUUACCUCUCCGAUGACGUCACGAAUCGGCUUCGUCACUGUCACGUGACCGCAGCUCCGCACACCUACUCACGUUGUUUCAAUGUAUAUUCUCGUCGUUUAGCUUGGGGGGAGCGGGAUGGAAUGGCUUUUUGGAGGUUUGCUAUGCAGAGUGAACAAGUGAAAUGCCAUUAGUGUCAAGUCUUCGGAUCCGCCUGGAACACGGGUGGCUUUAAAGCAGAACCGACAGGGAGACUUUCUAAAGCAGAGACCUGUACAACAAUACCUACAACAUCCAAAAUCUGCGAAGAGAUGAAACAUUCCUGCUGGCAGCCUUGAGAAGACAGAAGUAAGCAGCACCAGCUGACAGGGGCUCUUCGAUGAAAUCUCACCAUUCAGGUUCAACAGAAAAUGAAGAGGUGCAAAUGGACCCAACAUACCUUGAAGCAACACUCAGACUGCCUUGUUGGUGUAAAUCUUCCCCAGCUCUUGUGUCGCCUGAUCAGGAAAGUGUGGCAAACCAGAAGGGAGAGUCGGGGUUCAGGAGUCAGGGAUGGUAUUCACACAGGAGGGUGAGGAAGUCAGCUGGAUAGAUCUCCCCUGCCCAGCAUAUGAAUGGCAGCGGUGUUUGAGGACCACCUCACUACUGUUGAUUUGGUACUUCAUCUGCAAAAAAGCCAUUAAAUAAAUUAUAAUUUUUGUAAAAAUAAAUAUAAAACUAAACCAUAUUAAAGGUGUGUCAUGUUGCCCCAAAUGCAACUUGAAUUAUAAAGCCAUUUCUGACUGACCAGGUUAUUUUUAUAGAAUUGACUAGGGUGAACGGUCAACGUUAUGUCACAACUCGGGGAAUUCGGAGUGCUUUGUUUUUCAGCCCUCACCCGCACAAGCCCUGGCGUUAAAUUUCUAGCAGGGGAAACUCCUAUUUCCUGUCCACCAGAAUUAAGCGACAAUACAAGCUAAGUCAAAAGAGCAAUGAAAAUAAUGGUAUUAAAAAAAAAAAAAAACUAUAAGGGAAAGGUCUGAACUGCCAUUCAGAACCCCAAAGAGCUGGACAUUGUGAACUCGGAGCGAGCGGCACAGUUCCACCCAUAAUGCCAG